AGCGAACGCUGGCGGCAGGCUUAACACAUGCAAGUCGAGCGGGCACUUCGGUGUCAGCGGCAGACGGGUGAGUAACACGUGGGAACGUACCCUUCGGUUCGGAAUAACGCUGGGAAACUAGCGCUAAUACCGGAUACGCCCUUUUGGGGAAAGGUUUACUGCCGCAGGAUCGGCCCGCGUCUGAUUAGCUAGUUGGUGGGGUAAUGGCCUACCAAGGCGACGAUCAGUAGCUGGUCUGAGAGGAUGAUCAGCCACACUGGGACUGAGACACGGCCCAGACUCCUACGGGAGGCAGCAGUGGGGAAUAUUGGACAAUGGGCGCAAGCCUGAUCCAGCCAUGCCGCGUGAGUGAUGAAGGCCUUAGGGUUGUAAAGCUCUUUUGUCCGGGACGAUAAUGACGGUACCGGAAGAAUAAGCCCCGGCUAACUUCGUG
rnacentral:rRNA from 1 species